rnacentral:rRNA from 1 species
AGAGUUUGAUCCUGGCUCAGGAUGAACGCUAGCGGCAGGCCUAAUACAUGCAAGUCGAACGAGAAACCCGGUGCUUGCACUGGGUGGAAAGUGGCGAACGGGUGCGUAACACGUAUGCAACCUACCUUUGACAGGGAGAUAGCCCGAAGAAAUUCGGAUUAAUAUCCCAUAACAUAACGAAAUGGCAUCAUUUCGUUAUCAAAGCUCCGGCGGUCAAAGAUGGGCAUGCGUUCCAUUAGUUAGUUGGUGAGGUAACGGCUCACCAAGACCACGAUGGAUAGGGGGUCUGAGAGGAUGAUCCCCCACACUGGUACUGAGACACGGACCAGACUCCUACGGGAGGCAGCAGUAGGGAAUAUUGGACAAUGGGCGCAAGCCUGAUCCAGCCAUGCCGCGUGCAGGAUGACGGCCCUACGGGUUGUAAACUGCUUUUAUAUGGGAAGAAACCCUGAUACGUGUAUC